UACGAAGGUUGCAAGCGUUACUCGGAAUUACUAGGCGUAAAGGGCAGGUAGGUGGUUUGGUAAGUCUAUUGUGAAAGCUCCCGGCUUAACUGGGAGAGGCCAAUGGAUACUGCCAAGCUUGAGUAUAGGAGAGGUUACUGGAAUUCCCGGUGUAGCGGUGAAAUGCGCAGAUAUCGGGAGGAACACCUGUGGCGAAAGCGGCUCACUGGACCACAACUGACGCUGAGGCGCGAAAGCUAGGGGAGCAAACAGG
rnacentral:rRNA from 1 species